UGGGGCGUCGGCAAGUGGUAAGCCACCAGGUUUUGGUCCUGGCAUGCGCAGGUUCGAAUCCUGCCGCCCCAG
rnacentral:tRNA from 1 species